CUGAGUAGGACUAGGAGCAGGAACCAUAGCAGUCGCUAAGGGUCCUUUUGUCUUUCCUAAUCAAGUGAUUACUCUGUAGAAAUCUCAGAGCACCAGGGAAGAUAUGCCUGAAGUCCGCUUGGGAGUGUGGAAGGCAGCUCCCAUUCGGGAGUCCGGCUGGAAAAGUAGGGUUUCUUAAGAGGGAAAAAAGAUGGGGUCCUGGGGACGCCUUACCAGAAGUUGACAACGCCCUCAGCAUAAUCGAAACUGCGGGAGCAGCACGUUUAUCACAGGCUCAGAGUCCGAGCCAGGCUCGGCCCCGCCCCUCGGCCCCGCCCCCUCCUUCUGAGCGGCGGCAUACGCUGCCGGAAGACGCUUCCGGCUUCCAGGACAAAUGCUGCUAUCACAAGGACCAAAACUAGUCCAGAUUGCUGUCUUGGGAGAAAGGAGACAACUCAGCUGCCAAUGAAAGCAUCUGCUGAAGCGCCCUGUCAACUUACAGGAAGAAUCCUUUCUGCAGAAUCCGGGCAGCAUAAGAGGCUGCUGUUCUUCUGUGGAAUACAGCUGUAAUUCCCCUGGGAGAGGACAGAAGUGAGUUAGGGUGACUUCUUUGUUCUUUUUUUUUUCCCCGGAGCUGGAGACCGAACCCAGGGCCUUGCGCUUGUUAGGCAAGUGCUCUACCACUGAGCCAAAUCCCCAACCCUGACUUCUUUGUUCUUGGUGCUCUAGUAAGAAUGCCAGCAUAGUCAGAAGCCAACCAAGAUCAACCUCCCUCCCCUCUCAGCAAGGAAAUAUGGGGACACUCACUCUGUGGGGACCUCUGCCUGCAAGGAGGGUUGUGGUCUGGAGCAGCAUCCAAGGUUAGGGAUCGGAUUACAGUCUCACACACAAAUUGGGUCCCACUCAGGUCUUCCUCCGUUUCUUCGACUGAAGCAGGGGUCUCGGCCUUUCUCUUUGUUAAUACAGUGGAAUCUGAAGGACACACAAAGCCCAUCUGCCCUUAGUGUCUGAAGAGUUGGGAGCUCUCACCAGUCAGUGCAUCCUAAGCCUGGGUGAGGGCAGAGCUGCUCCUGCUCUCAUGAGACUAGAGAGCAAGGGAUGCUAUGCGACAUCGAUUUGCUGAGGUAAAGGUAAUGAGGAAUGGACGUGUGAGGACAGGUGUGAGUGGAAAGGGAAAGUACGUGCUUUACAGACAUUUAACCCCUUACCAGGAGAUGCUUUCAAUCCCGCCCCUUCACUCUCUUCCUGUAUCCGCCCCAAGCCUGGCUUCUCUAUUAAAGGGCUGUCAUGCGGCAGAGGAGACAUGCGGGGAGUCACAUCUGGAGAGUGAAGACAGGAAACCAUCAACCGAGAGAGCAUGACAUCGUAACAGUCAAGUGUCCCAGAAGCAGCAUUCUGUAGGUUUCUUGCUUCCUACAGGGUUACAAUAAACCCAAAUAUGCUCCACCACCUGUCACAUCAUGAAGAGCUUCUCUAGAUCACCAGGAAUGCAACUAGCUCUGGCUGAUCAAAGCUGGGCCACAAACAAGGAACUAGCCUAGAAAGUCAAAGCCAAGAUACAAAACUAUGAGUAAAGGAACAAAGGGAGAAAAAUGAAGAAGUGGUCCCUUUACAGCAAGGCAGCCCUGCACACACUUGUACUGUGGUACUGACAGACAACAGGGAGAGGAGGAGAUGGACCAUGGGUAUAACUUCACUGUCACACACAGCAUGGGAGGAAUCCUCGCCCUCUAGGGCCACAGACCGUAAUGCCAACACCUAAACAAGAUGAGCGAAGUAACAGUCUUACCCACAGGGGUGUUGUGUGGCACUCUCUCCAAUUCUUGAACAAUGUUUAUAUCCAGCAGUUCAAAGGACAGCAGGUCCUAGAAAAAGAGAUGGUCAAACACAAGCAUUUGCAGAACAAGUGGGAGCCAUGUUCUUUUAUGACUGGACCUUCAGGUUUCCUGCAUAUUGCCUGGAUUCAAUUGUUCAAAUUCAUGUCCCCCCUCAACCAAGUGAUUAGAAGACUUAAAGGGAAUUUGGUGUCUCAAACUCUAACUGGCAGGGGGAGAGGAAACUUGGGCGGGCAAGUGAAGUGGGCUAAGAUUCUGAGACCACUGGAGGGAAGCUGUGGGGAAGCACAAGCCUGGCUUCAAGCUCAGGAGAAAACAGUUUAGAAACUUGCUCCAUGCCUCACUGGAUGCUAAAUCCAGUCUGCCCAUCUGUAACUCCCCAGAACCAUGAUGGCUGUGCCACCUUCUCAAUAACAAGGUGCAAGCUCUUUCCUCAGUACUCCUCUUUCUGCCCUUGUCCCUCAAAACGGUGUUUACCUGGGCAGUCAGAAGGUCCACGGAUGGAAUGUAGAGCUCCCUCUCACUGGCAGCAUGUUGUGUCUUCUGUGGGGCACUGGAUCCUGUCCCUUCUGUCUGCUUUGUCACCUCACCCAAUGGAAUCUCUUCUUCAGCUAGAAGAAAAGCUUCCUAUAGGGACAAAUAAUUGGGACAUAUUUUAGGACCUCAACAAAGCUCAAGCACCAGGCUGAUAAGGUCAUCCCUAAAAUAAAAACGCAGCAGAACCUUUACAUUAACAUUUUUUAUUUAAUUUAGGACUUCUAGAAAAGCUGCAGAAACAGUGAAGAGUUCAGACACUGUUCCUUCACCUGCCAUCCUCUACAACUUGAUAAAAGUACAGUUAGCCCAAACCAGGAAAUUAACACUGGUUAGCUCUAAGUUCAAACAGUAGAGUCUGCUCCACUAACAAGAAAGUGACAAUGGACUGCAGCAAGCAAGUAGGUGACAAUGUCCUUAGAGCUCAGGGAUACUCUAUAGGAGGUGAGUGUGAAGGAGAAAAGCUACCAGGAGUUUACCAGAAGCCCAGGCUGCCUUUCUUUUCCUGGUGCAGUAAGCACCAUCACAUACAAAAGCCCUCUGGGACGGCCUAAGCACCCUAAGGAUUGUAAACACCUUGAGGAUUAGGCCAAACACCAGCAUAAAAAUGUAUUGUAGGGAGAAGUAUCCCCAGAAUCUGGUAUGUUAAAAGCCUGACCCCUAGAGCCUGCGUUGGUAGUGCAUGGCUUUAAUCCCUGUACUUGGAAGGCAGAAGCAAGUAGAUUUCCGUGAGUUUGAGACCUGGUCAACAGACUAAGUCCUGGUCAACUACACAGAGAAACCUUGUCUCGAAAAACCAAGAAGAAAGAAAGGAAAGAAAAGGCUUAGCUUCCCUAGAAGCAAAGCAUUAGUAGACAAUCUUUCUGAGGUGUAUCCUUACAUGAGAGCCUUAGGUCUGGUCCCUUCCUCUUUUUCUUGUCAUCUUGGGCCUGAGUAGCGUUUUUUGGUUUUGUUUUGUUUUUUUGCUGUGCUGUAUGUUCUGUCAGUACAUCCCAAUACCCCGACUAGGGGCCUGAAAGCACUGGAGGUGCCUAAUCAGACAGGAAUCUCUGAAAUUGAGACCCAAACGGCCCUAUCUCUUUAGAAGUUAACUAUACAGUAUUCUGUCACAGUGAUGGGAAUUCAGAAACAGUAAACUGUCAGGAAAUCUGCAAGAAUAACAAGCUACCAGUGAGUUCUUUUACAUUCCGGUCCCUCUCUUGGUCCCUAGGAAGAGCUAGCCUUGAACCUGCAAUAUUCUUGCUUCAGCCUCCUGCAAGCAUGGACUCCAGGCAUGUGCCACAGCUCGACGUUCCUAAUGACUGAGGAAAUAAUGUGGUAGACCGGGCCAACAGCUCAGUGCUCACCUCUUGCUCACAGGUGAAGUCAUCAGCUUUGCUUGAGCUAAUCCCAUCCCUUUCAAGGUUAACAGGGCUCUCAGAGGAAGGAAAAGGAUCCACUAUGAUACUGCACCAGACCCGAGGCCCAAACUGCUGGCCUUUGUGAGAGAGACGCCAAUGCGAAGUGUAUGUCCCCUCCAAGGUUGGGGCGAUGAACUCCACAGACACCACCCCGAUGUGUCCAGCCUUCAAGCAGGGAACCAAAACAUCCUUCUUCUCUGUAGAAGCCAGAGUCAAGUUUCCCCACAUGAACUUGAGCUGAAAGAACAGGAAGAAGCUUGUCAGCUGUGCUUUCUGCUCCUGCCUAUCCCCGUUUUUACAUUUGGGGACGUACCUUUGUGUCUGCGCUCCACUUCACAUUCCCUGUGUUUUUCAUCCUCCAGUGUUUGAUAAACUUGGUUCCUGGCUGAAGAUGAGUCCCAUCAGGCAAAUUCUCAUCCACGAAUGCUGCACUGAGUGUUGGCAUAACUGGGGCACAGGGCUGCAAAGGAAGCCUGGACAGAGAUGCAGACGGUUAGUCACUUGCGACUGGUGUGAUGGCCUCUGAACGUGUCACACUGUGACUCCAGAUAAGCGGAUACUAAUACACUUGACUUAACUACUAACACUAUUUAGGCUGAGCCUGUGAGAAGGCUCAGCAGGAAAAGGUGCUUGCCGUGCAAGCCCAGAGACCUGAGAUCAAUCCCCAGAAUGCAUAAAGGCCGAAGAAAGAGACCUGACUCCAUCAGCACGCAUGUCAAGGACACAGGCCCUGACGCAUUCUCGCGCACACGCACACACACACACUCAAAUUCCAUAAAACAAAGGCCAUAAAACAAAGAUAUGCUGCCUAAGGUUAAUUAUAAGUGUCCAUAAAUAUAGGGUAACUGCAAGUGUUCAUAAAUACAACUGGAGAUUUGCUCCUUGGUUCCAACCCUGCCAGACUGCCUCCAGAAAAGAGAAGUCUGAAUUAUCCCUGUUCUAAGCCUUAUUAGUUUCUUGCUUUCUGAAUGAGGCAUCAAAGCUGAGGGUCAAAAAUAACCCCUGAGGGGCUGGAGAGCUGGCUCAGUGGUUAAGAGCACUGACUGCUCUUCCAGAGGUCCUGAGUUCAAAAUCCGGCAACCACAUGGUGGCUCACAACCAUCUGUAAUGCGAUCUGAUGCCCUCUUCUGGUUUCUGAAGACAGCUACAGUGUACUUAUAUAUAAUAAAUAAAUAAAUCUUUAAAAAAAAAAACAUCCUGAACCAGCCCGGAAGACAAUGGGAAGCUUAAAACAGGUGGGUGCUCGGAGACACAGCAGGGAAAGCAAGGGCAGCUAAAAUCCCUGUUUCAGAGAGCUGGACCGGAGGCCACAUCCCUGCCUUGGCCCUGGACUUACAUGAGGGUGUUAGACUGCAGCAAGCUCUCAGGUCGACCCAAAGGCGACUUGGGACUCUGGAGUCCAUGGAUUGAAUUCCACAAAUGAAUCUUCCGGUGGAGUUUCAGCUGCUUUUUAAGCUCUUUGACCUCUGCCUUCCGCUGUUUCUUCUCAGCCCGCAACCUUUGCUUUUCUGCUUUCACAAAAUUCUUAUCCACCUGCUUUUGGAGCCUGUGGGAUAACGAAUGAAUGCCUUAAAACACAGAAAGCCUGAGGCAGGCUGGACUGAAUGCACGUCAUCAACGUUAGCAUCUAGUCUCUUAAUUUACUCAUCAUUUCCAUUUGACGAGUCUCAGACAACUGUUUCAUUAUCACACAUCAAUUGAGAAGGAGCAAAAAUACAGAGACUAUUAAUAAUUUUGUGAUACUAUAUACUACCACUGCACUUUUCUUUUGUUAUGAGACUAUCUUGCUAUGUAGCUUAGCCUGGCCUAACACUCAGGACGGUUCUGAGUGCUGGGCAUUACAUCUGAUUUUUUUCUCACCUGAGACAAGGUUUCUCUGUGUGCAGCUCUGGCUGUCCUGGAACUCACUCUGUAACAGGUUGGCCUUGAACUCACAGAGAGAUCUACCUGCCUCUGUCUUAUGAGUGCUGGGAUUAAAGGCAGCUGGCCAGAUUUUUAAAAGAUUUAUUUACUUUUAAUUCAUGUGUAUUAGUGUUUGCUUGAAUAUGUAUGUGCACCACAUUGUGUCUGAUGCCCACAAAGGCAGAAAUGUGUGUCAGAUCCCUUGGAACUGGAAUUACGGAUUGUUGUGAGUUGCUAAAGUGGAUGUUGGGAAGUGAGCCAGGGUCUUUGGCAAAAGCAGCCAGUGCUCUUACCUCUUACCAUGAGAUAUCUCUUCAGCCCACUCAAAUAUUUUCAUCAUCAGUACUUUGUGUCAACAGAGUCAAGAAGCCAAAUGGGGGGCUGGGGAUUUAGCUCAGUGGUAGAGCGCUUACCUAGGAAGCGCAAGGCCCUGGGUUCGGUCCCCAGCUCCAAAAAAAAGAACCAAAAAAAAAAAAAAAAAAAAAAGAAGCCAAAUGGAUGAGCAGCCACAAAUAUGGCUUUACCUGACUUGUUCCAAAGCAGCAGGCAGACGAGGAGUGGGAUACUUUGAGUAGAAAAAUGGCUCAGAGGAAAUCACAACAGGUCUCCGAAAUUUUAGCAAAAUGUGGUUAGUGUCAUGGGAGUAAGGUCCAGCUUCACAAUCUUCACAAAUGUUGUAGGAUGGGCAGAGGCUGUAUGAAAAGACCAACAUAGUAAAAAUUUCGCAGCAGGAAGUCCCUGAAGUAGAGAGGAACAACCCAGAUUAAGCUUUCAUUUGCUCCAUUACCAGCUGGGUGGAGACUUUUAAUUGCCUCUAGGCGAUGCUGAGGCCUAAGUUCCUCAUUAGUAAAAUGAGAAGAUAACUCCCACUCACACCUAUUCCAUGAAAGUUUGUGGAAAGAAGUAAGAUACAAGAACAUUUUGAACUUGAACAAGGGGGUCUAUCCUUAGUGACCUAAUUUGGCCUGAUGCUGAUAAUCCAAAUGUGUAUCUGAAUGGCACUCUGAAUAGUUCCAAGACCACAAAGGAUGUAAAUGAGGAGUGGCUUGUGCUUCUAAAUCAAAGCCACACUGCCUAAGGCUGGAGAAAGAAGACUCACAGCUUCCCCUAAACUUCCCAGAAUGCCAGUCGGCCACCGCUUCUGCCCAGGAACUGCUUACCUACACUGGUAGCGCACACCGACGAUCCUCUUUUGGCAGUGGCUACAAGCAAUAUGCCAGCUGAACUGGUUCUCUGGCAAAAACAGGGUUUCCUCCUCUGAAAUAGGCAUUGAGACUUCUGAGGGUGAGGAACUGAAGGGUGGCUUCUGGAGGACAAGCUUCUCCUGCAACCUCUGUUCAAGCUUCUCCACCGUUUCCUUCACCACUUGUUCUCUGAACUACAAUGUAGAACAGAAGGUAGGGGAAACUCAGUUCCAGCACCAGGAAGAGUGAGAAGAAAUGGACCUUCCCUGUCUCUGGGUGCACGUUAAGGACAUGGCUAAUGGCUACUGGAGGAAGGCACAGCAAUGUAAUUAACAGGUCUCAUCCUCAUGAAGUGACUCUUUCCUCCUUGGGAUGAUUCUGUGAACUUGUCCUUUUCAAGGACAGAGAUCUGUCUGUCCCCUCACAAACUUAGAACUGGGUGGUCUCUUUUUAUGACGCUUCAGGCAGAGGUUAGAACUUCCUUCACCAGAUCUGCUCUAUGUCUGGAAGUCACAGCUGCCACUCCCCUGCAUCAGAGGCUGCAGUCAUCUGGGUUCAGCUUUCUACCUGUGCCAACGGUGCUGCUAAAACUCAGGUCAGAGAGGACACUCACCAUCUCCAGGUAGCUUGUAAACCAGUCUGGGGGCUUGUCUUGAGGCUUGUCGGUGUCACAAGGAACAGGUGAACGUGCCUGGGAGAAAAUACAAAAGAAGUUACUUUUUCUAAAUUUUUCUAAAAUGUAUUAUUUCUUUACCAAAUGUCAAAAGCAUGUAACACACAAAUUUUUGAGAAAGAAUACAGAAGAAAAUCAAAAUGUGUAUUCUAGUUUCUUUCCUUUCUCUAGAAGUAAAUCAAGGUUGCUAGUUUCAAAAAUUCAGAUCCAGAUGGUCACCUUAAUACCCAAGUUGUUGUGUACAUGAGUAUGCAGUGUGUGCAUGUGGAGGCAGUGUGUGCAUGUGGAGGCAGUGUGUGCAUGUGGAGGCAGUGUGUGCAUGUGCAGCUUGGCUGUUAUCCCUUAGGUACUUUUUUUUUUAAACUUUUUGAGGCAGACUCAACUCAGUGGCCUGGAAACAGUCAACUAGGCUAUGCUGGCUGUCCUGUAAGUCCCAAGGAUUCUCCUGUCUCUGCUUCUUCAGUCCUGAGAUUACACAUAGGUAUGACGCAUGGCUUUUAUGUGAGUCUGGGCACAUAUGUGGCAAUCGGAGGACAGCACUGGGCGUUGGUUCUCACCGUCCACCUGUGGGAACUAGAGCCCGUCUAUUGUUCAUUACUGCCAUGCCAAGGUGGCUAGCCGGUCACCUUUCAGAGAUUCUCCUGUCCUUGCUUUCCAUCUUGCCAUAGGAGCACUUAGACACAUCAGGGUUACAACAUGACACUAUGCCUGUGAACUGGGGGGAUUUGAACUCGUGUACAUGCUGGCAAACCAACUCUUUACCCAGUAAGUCAUCUUUCCAGCUCUUUGGAGAUCACACUCAGGGUCUUGUGCUUUCAAGCUAUUUCCCCAGCCUCCUUGCCCAAAUCUUUGAUGACUAUUCAAAUGUUAUAUAAGACAAUGAGAUGUAAGGUUAGACUUGGACGGAUAGGCCCAUCCUCUCGUACCUCUGCUGUAGGCUCCUCUGUGGUCUUCAUAUCUGAUCCCAAGACUCUUACCAGCGAAGAGUAAUGUGCGAGUGGCUUCUUCCCUGUCCUGGCAGUUGCUUGUUUUUCUACUACAGUUUGGGGGAGCACUUCAUCUACAACAUGGCACCCUUCGUGGACUUGCAUCUGUAGUUGAUUUCCUUGCUUAAUGUUAGCCAUCUAAAAGUGUUACAAGAGCAUGUCACAAAAUGAAAACACAUCAUGGUUCUCUUUUUCCAAAUGAAAUGUCAAAGCGCUGGAAUGCAGAAGUAUGGUGAACUGUGCUGUAAUUUUUGUUUGCAUUUCUAAGUGAAGAGGCUGAACACCUUAAUUAAACUUAUUAACUCUUGAGGUGUUGACAUGAUGCCACACAUGGAAAAUUAGCACCUAGCAUUUUAUGAUCAGUAGUAACAAAAUACUGUAUACUAAGAAUACUCUAGAAAAUUACCUUUAGGCUAUAAAAAGUAUAUAUGAGACAAACAAAUUUCAAAUUUAGCUUUGGGACCCAUUUCUAAGAUAUCUCAUUAUAAAAGUACAAAUAUCCCAAAAUCAAGUUUAAAAAAUAUGAAGCAUAUCUUAUUCCAAGCAUUUUAGAUAAGGAUAGUCAACCUCUAUUAAUAUCUCGCCUGAUGCUUGUCAAGAAUAUCAACUACAAAUGGCUUUAUUAAGUUAACAUUUGAAGAAAUUGUUAGGUGAGAUUUUGCCAUCUACUGGUUCUUCUUUAAUUACUGUUUGCGUAGUUUGACCUUGUGUCUGCCUGGGUUGCCCUGGCUGGCAUAAAGCUUGAGAUCUUCCUCUGAGGUACUCCAAGUACAGGUGUGCAGUACCUGUUAACUGCUUGUUCUGUAAGGCAUUAACUCUAAUCUCAGCUUUCUAAAAGACGAAAUUACUUCCAGACUGGUACUAAUCAUGGAGACUUAAAGCUGUUCCCUAUAGCUGAGCACUUACUUUUCUCCUAACCCAGUAUUUUAGAAAGCAAGCUUAAGUCAUUGUAUCUUUGUGAAGAACGUCUUCCUAAUAAAGUAUUAUGGAAACCCCAAGAAGCUGUUUGGUUUUCAUCAAGUUAUAUAAACGUUUAAGAAAAAUUAGGGACUGAAUAGCUAAGAGUCUAGCCCCCUGUGUCCCAAAACUGUUUUCCCUUUACCCAUCUUUAUGCAAUAGUCUUAAGAUUCCUAUUAGGAUGGGAUAUUGAGCACUUGUUUAGCACGCACCAGGGCCUGAGUUAGAGCAGCAUUGCAAGAAAGGAAAAAAAAAUCACCUAAAAUUUCCUGUACAAAUAUAUUUUAUUUGAAACUGGGUUUUGUUCUGCUGCCCAAGUUAUCCCUAAACUAGGCUUAAAUAAUCCUCCUGCCACCUCCUUUUUUUUUUUUUUUUUUUUUUGGUUUUGAGACACGAUCUUGCUACACAGCCUAACUGGUCUUUGAACUCGAUGUCCAGGCACCUUGGCCUCCAGAGUGCUGGGAUCACAGAAGCGUGCCCCAUGCUCAGGGCUGCUGCUGGUUCUCUUCUUCAUGUCUGAGUGCUGUCUGCCAGAGGAGGGCAUCAGAUCCCAUUGCAGAUGGUUGUGAGCCACCAUGUGGUGAUUGCUGGGAAUUGAACUCAGGACCUGGAAGAAUAGCUAGUACUCUUAACGCCUGAGCUAUCUCUCCAUUCCCUUGGGCUUCUUUUUAAGAUGGUGGCACUAAGGCCGGCAAUGAUUAGAAGUGCCUGCUGCUGAGUCCCUGCCCUACUUAACAGACGUCCUAGCAAUAGGUGUCAUUCUGCUUAUUCUUAGUACUUUCCAGGGGAGUUUAGGUUUUAAUAAGUAUCUUUCAAAUACUUGAAAAUAAUACGAAGUAAACAUUACCUUAAGUGCUUCUUCAUAUUCUCCUAAAGGGACAAAAACAAAACAGUGGGAUUUUUGGUUUUUGUUUUUGAUCAGUUUUACAAUUACACUGAAUAUCAUCUACCCUACAAUUUUUUGCUUUUUUGGGGGUGGGAGAGUCUAGCUAUGUAGCUUAGGCUGACAUCAAACUUACAAUCCUUUGUGUGUUGGGAUUACAGAAGGGUCAGGCUAAUUCUAUAGUUCCAGUGUAAAGCAUAGAGACUAUCAAAUUCUUAGAAUCUUCAUAUAUAGACUCCCUUCUUAUUAUAUGGUGCUCUUCCUUCUGGUCAUAACAAGAUUUCAUCCCUGGCCUCUUCCCCUAUAGCUAUGACAAACCAGAGCACAGCAAUAUAGUGGUAGCCAGGACUCUGGCAAUGGAGCUAUGGUUACUCCACUGAGGUGUCAGGAGACCCUUGCCUGAGAUUCCAUUCCUUUCCCUAGCUGCAAGAGGUCUGAGAGAUGAUAGCCUAUUUACAGAAGUGAAGGACGGCUAAAAGCAGGUCUCCAUGAUGCAGUAAGAUGGCAAACCAUGACGGGGUGGGGCCUUGCAGUGAUCUACCUGUUUGGGGGCCUCCCAAACUCCUGUACACAACUCUGCUCUGCAAGGAAGUGCAACAGACUCACGGCUUCCACCGGGCUGGCUUUGGGGAGAUUAUACUUUGAUCUCUUGUUGGCGCCCACCUGGUGUGGUGUCUCCUCUGAAGUUCUUGCAACAAGAUCCAGAGCUGAGAGCAGCUAAUACAAAGAAUCUUCCUCUUCAGUCCCUCUGUGCUGCUCUAGCCUUUGAAGUAAAAAAUAUCAACCCAAACCCCCUAACUACACUUUGUGAAGCCCAAGAUUCAGUUAAGCUCCUGGACUAUGUGAAGACUAUCAUUUUACCUGGUUCACAUAAGGUUGUAGGGACGACAAUAUGGACUACAACCAAGUAUCUGACAAACAGGGACAUGACUUGUCUAAGCAUUGAUAGUCACACAUACGCCAGGUCAAAAGCCUGCAGCACCAGCAGAAUGAGUUGUGUGUGACAACUAGAUGUGAACCACUUUCAGAAGAUCGGCAUCCUAAGUAUCAUGUUGGCUAAGACCUGCCCUUAUGAUCCAUACACAUGUACUGUCUUCUAUUAAAAACACUGGCAUACAAUAAAAGUCCCCUGUGAGGCUGGGGACGUAGCUGAACUGGUAGGGUGCUUGCCUAGAAAGCACCAGGCACUAAGUCUGAUUCUCAGUAUUGCAUACAGUGGGGUGGAGGCCCAAGCCUGUAAUCCAGUACCCAGAAGGUGGAGGCAGAAGAAUCAUGUUGUUCAAGGUUAUCUUAGGAGUAGAAGUAAGCCAGAGAUACCCUGAGAUAACCUGAGAGUCUGCCGCAAGAAGAAAAAAGAAUCUCCUAUAAAACUAAAGCCACAGGUGACCGGGUACAACAUCGGUUUACAUUAUACCAAAUUCUACUCUAAAAUGUGUGCUAGGGAAAAACAGGAUUUAGAUGGAAACACCUCAAUGGGCAGAGUAAUUUGUUUUGAAACAGGGUUUCACUACGUAGUCCAGAUUGCCUUUAAACCAAGGAUCCUCCUGCCUCAGCCUCCUCAGUACUGGACUUAAAGAUAAAUAUUGCCAUGUGAGGCAAAUUUUAAGUAAAGCUAACAGGAUUUUUCUCAGGAACUUACCUUGACUAUUGAUGGAUAUCUAUGAAGAGAAAAAAGCAACAGUGAAUUCUGAGUCUCAUCACCGGAGCAUUUUGUUAACUAGGACCAGUCAGUCUCAUGGCAAACUCCCAGGUCAGGUGGUCAGCAUUCCUACUACUGCUUAAAUAGCGUGCUCUGUUUUAUCUCAGUGGCAUUAACACGUAGCAUAACGUAGGCCUAGGAGCAUGGAUCUGGGGCCCCUACUUCAUUACUUUUGUGCCUUUGGGCAGGAUUCCUGCCCUCAGAGCUUCUGCUUCCUUAUGGCAAAGUGAAGACGACGUGGUACCUGACGACAGUAGUGCUAGUCUAAUGCACUCAGACCACUUCCUAAAGCUUCAUCAUCAUCAACUAAAUGACGGCCUAGCUAUAGUUAGGUUCUUCCUCUGAUAUCCUUCAUGUUACUUUCCCAUUUCUCAACUCCAGUUCAGAUGCCAAGAGUUUUUGUUGUUGUUGCUGUUUUGAGACAGGGUUUCUCUGGCUGUCCUAGAACUCGCUCUGUAGACCAGGCUGGCCUCAGAGAUCCGUGUGUCUCUGUCUCCCCACCCACAGUCUUCAUGAAGUACGCAACUAUCAAACACAUUUAAACUAUGAGGCAAGUGCGAUAAAACUAUUAUGAGCUUUUUCUUUCUUUUGUUCCCCCUGCCUCUAUGGCUCUCUGAGACAGUUUUUUGUUCUAAAGUCCAAGUUGGCUUAAACUUCCCAAGUACUGGAAAGACAGGUGUGAGCCAUUAAACUGGGCUUUAUUCUGAACUUUUAAGCUCCAUACCACUCUGGAAAGAUCCCUGUUCUACAUAUCUAAUAACGGGUUCACAGAUACUUUACCUCCUCAUUUUCCUCAUCCAGGUAUUUUAUUUGGAUAGUAUUCAGAUCAAAUGAAACUUUUACCUGUAAAUCAAACAAUUGGUUCAGUGUAUCUCACUAUAUAAGAUUAAACAUUUUAACUUUAUUUUAUUGAUUAUGAACUUUCCAAACAUUAACAUGUAUUAGCGGUAAUGGUGGAGCUGGGAAGAAUGCUGCCUAAGCCAAGAGUAGUGUGGUAGAACUUGUGGACCUUUCCAAGACCACAGCUCUUGCAGCCUGCAGAUAGCAGCCCAUGAAUCUCCAACUUACAUAUCGCGGCAAAGCCUCCUGAACCCAGAGCUCACCAAUUUGGCUAGUCUAGUUAGCAAAUUUGCUUCCAGGAUGCCCUUUAUGGGCUUCCUAAGUAACAACGUUACAUUUGUAUGGGUGGUGGGAAUCCAAAUGCUGGUGCUCACAUCUUUAUGGCAAGGGCUUAGCCCAAGGAGCCCUCUCCCUGGCCCUUAUGUUCACUCUUCUGUGAUGCUGGGGAUUCAAUGCGGAGCUUUGUGGAUGCUAACUGAGCCCUUCACUAAGGUACACACACCUUAAAGUAGUUUUAAAAAACAACUACAAGCAGACUAAAACAUCUGCAAGUGGUAAUAGAUACAGGGGUAAUACUUCUAACACACACACAAAAUCACGAAAACGGACAGUAGGAGGAGUAAUCCAGUGGCCCAAUGCAGGACACAGAGGCAGGUGGAUGUCUGUGUUUUUUAGGCCAGCCUGGUCUACAUAAGAAGUUCCAGAACAGAGAGAUUUACAAAAAAAAAAAAAAAAAAAAAAAAAAAAAACCACCAAAAAUUUUAACAGAUUAACUUAAGUAAAUACGUGUACAGAAUUUACAAGAGGAAAUAGAAUGCCUAAUAUAAAAACAUAUUCAAACUAACCACUGCCAAACAAUGUAAACAAAGAAAUAUGUGAUAUAUUAGGGUGGUAAACAAAAAAAAUUUUUUUUUUGAGACAUGGUUGUUUCUCUGUUUAACAGCUCUGGCUGUCCUGGAACUCAGAGACCCACCUGUCUUUGCCUCCCAAGUACUGGGACUAGAGGUGUACACUACUACUUGGUGUGAACAUUUUUGAAGCUGUAAUGUUCAGUGUUGUCAAAGAUUUAGGGCAAGGAAUGAAGCUCAGCGGCAGAACACUUCUCUAGCAUGUGGAAGGCCCAACGUUUGACCUCCAGAACCACAAAAUAAAAAAACAAAAAACAAAAAAACAAAAAAAACCCAAACAACCUUCAAGGCUGUAAGUCAUUUUUCUGUUCACCGUUAUAAUCAUUCUGUGAAACAGUCGGCAGCUACCUAUUAAAGUGUUUUUGAUUUUAUGUGUUUGGGUGUUUUGCCUACGCAUCACAGGAACGCCUGCUGCCUGCACAGGAAAGAAGAAGAUGGCUGAGGUUCUGGGCUCGUGAGCUGCCACAUGGAUGCUAGAAAUCAAACUGGUCCUCUGGAAGAGCUGCCCCUGUUCUUAACCCCAACCCCUAUCUAUCACAAUUUAAAAUCAGGCUAAUGAAAUGGCUUAAGUAGUAAAGUGCUUGUUGUACACAAGCCUACUAACCUGAGGUUGAGCCUCAGAACUCACAUAAAGGUGGAAGGAACACCCCCCCAACCACCACACACCCCACACCAAUUUUUUAAAGUUCAUCACCUUUGGAUAAAGUCUACUCUAUAGAACCAAUGUAAGUUAUCCAUACUGAGCUAUCGGUCCUGUCUACUUUAUAAUGAGAAAAGAAAGAAAACCUGGGUGGGGAAAUCAGUAAGUAAUGGUUACAUCCACAGUGUUCAGCAAUACUAACACCACCGGGGACUCAGAGCUUUCAAAGACUGAGCUUUGCUGUGUGUACUGAUGAGGAACUAUUUACUGCUGGGCAAGGACAGCAAGAUGCAGAACACUGUUUCUGUAUGACCAGAUAACUGCACAGACGAGGAACUGUGUGUGGGUAAGUUCCUCGGGCUGUUUUCUCUGCUUACUUAAAGGAGAAGUAAACAGCACAUGCAGGAUAGGAGUUUGUGGACAGAUAUUCUCUCCUUACAUGUUAAGACUCUUUCAUGCCUUAUAAUGGGCAUGUAAUACACUUUUAUAAUUUAAAAAUUUCCAACAGAAGAAAAGGGCAGGCUGUCCGCUCACCCAACUGCUACAGAAAGGAAGGUAUCUGCUGCUCACAUCAUUUAACAAGUGCACUGCUUGCUCAACAGCCACCUGCCUGGGGCAGCAUGGAGAGAAAUUGCUGGAAGGCAGGGAACUCGACUGUAACAUACUGGUUCUUCUCUAAAAUUUCCUUCCUCCUAAAGCUACCCACAUAGAUUACCAGGUAAAAACAUAUUUGUAACCAAAAAUGGUUACAUUAAACACAGAUGUCCAAGUAGUAAAACAUUGACCAUGGCAGGCCCACAAAACUGGAAGAGUACAAAGGGCAAACCAAGAUGAAAAAAACUAUUACCAAAUCAAGGAACAGAGACGCUGCUGCGUGAGCACCCGAGGGAGUUUUUGCUUUUUGCCAGUUCCGAGACAGCCAACCUUUGACCCAGCAAUAAAGCAACUGGCAGGUCUUGCAAAACACAAGUUACAUCCUCGUCAGGUAACAAGCAGCAGCAGCAGUCUCCUCUCCAGCCAGACAACACCCCCACGGCCUCGCUGUUGGGGAGGACAGCCAAAUUUAUCCCUCAGAAUGUUCCGAACCUUAAUUCACUGAAAAUAUAAUUUUACGUCAUACAGUAGAGAGAACCAACUCCCAAAACUGUCCCAGACUUUUGCUCUCACAAAAAAAAUUUAUAUAUAUAUUUCUAUGUAUAUAUAUAUAUAUAUAUAAACUUUUAAAGAUGUUUAAAGGAACAUAGUUGUUUCUUCCCUUUGUCCUGGCACAUAUCCUCUACACAUACUGAAUCCCUGUAAAAAACAAUUUUCCAAGGUCCAGAAAUGCAUGAAAUAAAUUGCUCAAAAUAGCUAUAUUUUGAAAAAAUAUCUGUUUAAACCAUUGAGAAACAGAACAAAGUGGU